rnacentral:rRNA from 1 species
CCUACGGGAGGCAGCAGUGAGGAAUAUUGCGCAAUGGAGGAAACUCUGACGCAGCCAUGCCGCGUGCAGGAAGACGGCCCUACGGGUUGUAAACUGCUUUUAUAUAGGAAGAAACCCCGAUACGUGUAUCGGCUUGACGGUACUAUAUGAAUAAGGACCGGCUAACUCCGUGCCAGCAGCCGCGGUAAUACGGAGGGUCCAAGCGUUAUCCGGAUUUAUUAGGUUUAAAGGGUCCGCAGGCGGGAUUUUAAGUCAGUGGUGAAAGCCUACAGCUCAACUGUAGAACUGCCAUUGAUACUGAUAUCCUUGAGUGUGGUUGAAGUGGGCGGAACAUGUCAUGUAGCGGUGAAAUGCAUAGAUAUGACAUAGAACACCAAUUGUGAAGGCAGCUCACUAAGCCAUUACUGACGCUGAGGGACGAAAGCGUGGGGAGCGAACAGGAUUAGAUACCCUGGUAGUCCACGCCGUAAACGAUGAUCACUCGUUGCUAGCGAUACACUGUUAGUGACCAAGCGAAAGUGUUAAGUGAUCCACCUGGGAAGUACGUUCGCAAGAAUGAAACUCAAAGGAAUUGACGG